AGGUUUCCGUAGGUGACCUGCGGAAGGAUCAUUAUAGAAUAAAAUUGAACGGGCUGUUGCUCUCCUUAUGGUGGUGCACGCCUGUCAUAUUUAUCUCUCCCACUGUGCACAUUUUGUAGACCUGGUGUUUGGGAAUUGCUGUAGUCAGCUUUGCCCUUUGCCCUUGCCAGUCUAUGUUAUUUUAUCACAACCUCUGAAUGUUUUGAACUUUUUAUGAUGGAAAUUAUAUACAACUUUCAGCAACGGAUCUCUUGGCUCUCGCAUCGAUGAAGAACGCAGCGAAAUGCGAUAAGUAAUGUGAAUUGCAGAAUUCAGUGAAUCAUCGAAUCUUUGAACGCAUCUUGCGCUUCUUGGUAUUCCAAGGAGCAUGCCUGUUUGAGUGUCAUUAAAGUUCUCAAAACCCACAUGCUUGUCAUGUGGAAUUUUGGAUAUGGGGGUUUGCAGGCUUUUUAAAGUCGGCUCCUCUGAAAUGUAUCAGUGGUAUCUGUGUGGACUACAGGUGUGAUAAAUAAAAUCUAUGCCUUGCCCCUCACCGUGCUGCUUCUUCUGACGAGUUGGGAUUGACAAAUUUGACCUCAAAUCAGGUAGGACUACCCGC
rnacentral:rRNA from 1 species